rnacentral:tRNA from 1 species
UCGGGAUAGCUCAGUUGGUAGAGCAGAGGACUGAAAAUCCUCGUGUCCA